GUCAAUUAUAAACCAGUCAGGUCUUUAUAUAUGCCUAAUUUCCUCUCAACCAUCAGAAGAGAAAGAAGAAUACUUCAGCUUUGAAAACAAGUGUCUUCUUCCUCAUAAUUCCAGCAGUCGCAAUGGUUUUCUCUGUACCUCAGAGGAUCCUCCUGAUCUGCCUGCUGCAGUUUUGCACUUGUGCAGUCGGUCAGAAUGUGAACCCAAAAACUCUCAUGAAUAUUGUAAAGAACUUUGAGAAUAAGUUGUCUGGCAUGGGACAAUAUGCUGUCGCUUUCAGAGUCGAGAAGAACAAAUGUCAAGAUCCCAACUAUGACGGUCAGGAAUUAAUAACUAGACAAGUGAAAGAAAAACUCAAUAACAAUGAAGUUUUUGUAAGUGGUGAGCUUAUCGCUGCAAGGGCUGAAAUAAAUAAACAAGAUCAUUCAGAGUUUCGCCUGAGGAAUUAUCUGAAGAAAAUCUUGAAUGUAAAAAAUCAAUGUGUGAUUUAUUUCACUGUAAAUUCACCCUGUUUGGAUAAAUGCAUAUCAGAAACCUGGCAAUACAACAUUAGAGGUAAUCUGAGAAAUUUAGAAAAAUAUAAAGGAAUUAAAGCCUUUGCAUUCAAAUUAUUUUGGAUACGUGAUGAAAUUGUGGAUGUUACAAGGACACUUAAGGAAAUUUCUCCUUCUUUGCCAUAUUAUCAUUGUGAGCAAAACAAUGCUGAAUGUGAUCGCCUGUGAGUAGAGCGAUGCUUAUGCUGAACAGUUGCUUUCUUCACACACAUAGCUGAGGGUUUUGGUUCUGUUUUAAUUGCAGUAAACAUUACGAUUGGCAAAUAAAAUCUGUAUUCUGUUAAAUUCAUAAAUUGUGAUCUUGUGUGCUUGAGUAGACGCCAGCUCUGUUACAAUUCCUGUUUUGUGUUCAAGGAAUAAAUGUUCUUGCACCUGG